GAGUUUGAUUCUGGCUCAGGACGAACGCUGGCGACGCGCCUAACACAUGCAAGUCGAGCGGAGAUAUGUAAGGAGUAAUCUGAGCGUAUUUUAGCGGCGGACGGGUGAGUAACGCGUGAGUGACCUGCCUCUUACAGGGGGAUAACGUACCGAAAGGUACACUAAUACCGCAUAAGACCACAUGGCCGCAUGGCCGAGGGGUCAAAGGAGCAAUCCGGUAAGAGAUGGGCUCGCGUCCGAUUAGAUAGUUGGUGAGGUAACGGCCCACCAAGUCUGCGAUCGGUAGCCGACCUGAGAGGGUGAACGGCCACAUUGGAACUGAGAGACGGUCCAAACUCCUACGGGAGGCAGCAGUGGGGAAUAUUGGGCAUGGGGGAAACCCUGACCCAGCGACGCCGCGUGAAGGAAGAAGGCCUUCGGGUUGUAAACUUCUGUUCUUGGUGAAGAGGGGAAGACG
rnacentral:rRNA from 1 species